GUGGGGAAUAUUGGACAAUGGGCGCAAGCCUGAUCCAGCCAUGCCGCGUGAGUGAUGAAGGCCUUCGGGUUGUAAAGCUCUUUCAGAUGUGAAGAUGAUGACGGUAACAUCAGAAGAAGCUCCGGCUAACUUCGUGCCAGCAGCCGCGGUAAUACGAAGGGAGCGAGCGUUGUUCGGAAUCACUGGGCGUAAAGAGUGCGUAGGCGGUUAUACAAGUCAGGAGUGAAAUCCCAGGGCUCAACCCUGGAAUUGCUUUUGAAACUGUAUAGCUAGAGUCCCGGAGGGGUUAAUGGAAUUCCGAGUGUAGAGGUGAAAUUCGCAGAUAUUCGGAGGAACACCAGUGGCGAAGGCGAUUAACUGGACGGGCACUGACGCUGAGGCACGAAAGCGUGGGGAUCAAACAGGAUUAGAAACCCGAGUAGUCC
rnacentral:rRNA from 1 species